AUUGAACGCUAGCGGCAUGCCUAACACAUGCAAGUCGAACGGCAGCACAGUAUAGGGCAACCUAUAUGGGUGGCGAGUGGCGGACGGGUGAGUAAUGCGUAGGAAUCUUCCUUUUAAUGGGGGACAACCCGGGGAAACUCGGGCUAAUACCGCAUAAUCUCUGUUACUGUAAUAGUAGUAGAGCAAAGGGGGCCUCUGAAUAUGCUCUCGUUAUGAGAUGAGCCACGUCGGAUUAGCUAGUUGGUGGGGUAAAGGCCUACCAAGGCGACGAUCCGUAGCUGGUCUGAGAGGACGAUCAGCCACACUGGGACUGAGACACGGCCCAGACUCCUACGGGAGGCAGCAGUGGGGAAUAGUUGGACAACGGGCGAAAGCCUGAUCCAGCAAUGCCGCG
rnacentral:rRNA from 1 species